rnacentral:rRNA from 1 species
UACGGAGGGUGCGAGCGUUGUUCCGGAAUCAUUGGGCGUAAAGGGCGCGUAGGUGGCCCGGUCAGUUCGUGGUGAAAGCGCGGGGCUCAACCCUGCGUCGGCCAUGAAUACUGCCGCGGCUGGAGGCACUGUAGAGGCAGGCGGAAUUCCGGGUGUAGCGGUGGAAUGCGUAGAGAUCCGGAAGAACACCGGUGGCGAAGGCGGCCUGCUGGGCAGUUGCUGGCACUGAGGCGCGACA